rnacentral:rRNA from 1 species
AACGAACGCUGGCGGCAUGCCUAACACAUGCAAGUCGAACGAGACCUUCGGGUCUAGUGGCGCACGGGUGCGUAACGCGUGGGAACCUUCCCUUAGGUUCGGAAUAACUCCCCGAAAGGGGUGCUAAUACCGGAUAAUGUCUUCGGACCAAAGAUUUAUCGCCUUUGGAUGGGCCCGCGUUGGAUUAGCUAGUUGGUAGGGUAAAAGCCUACCAAGGCGACGAUCCAUAGCUGGUCUGAGAGGAUGAUCAGCCACACUGGGACUGAGACACGGCCCAGACUCCUACGGGAGGCAGAAGUGGGGAAUAUUGGACAAUGGGCGAAAGCCUGAUCCAGCAAUGCCGCGUGAGUGAUGAAGGCCUUAGGGUUGUAAAGCUCUUUUAACCGGGAUGAUAAUGACAGUACCGGGAGAAUAAGCUCCGGCUAACUCCGUG